UACAGAGGGUGCGAGCGUUAAUCGGAAUUACUGGGCGUAAAGCGCGCGUAGGCGGCUUUGCAAGUCGGGUGUGAAAUCCCCCAGGCUUAACCUGGGAACUGCAUUCGAGACUGCAUUGCUAGAGUAUGGGAGAGGGAAGUGGAAUUUCCGGUGUAGCGGUGAAAUGCGUAGAUAUCGGAAGGAACAUCAGUGGCGAAAGCGACUUCCUGGACCAAUACUGACGCUCAUGUGCGAAAGCGUGGGAGCAAACAGGAUUGAGAA
rnacentral:rRNA from 1 species